AAAAAAAAAAAAAGAGCAACCUGAGGUCAGUCUUCAGAGACAUAGUUAACAUAGUGUUAGCCUCUGUGAUGGCACAGCUGGUGAAGUUAGGCUAAGGUGCGUGAAAGAAGAUGAAGUUUCUUUGAGGGCUGAGAACUUAAGGAUGUAAUUUGGUAAUAAAACUACAGUUUUGAGUUGGCCCAUUAAUCAGAAGAUGUUUUGAAGGUACAAGGGGCUUUGUGAGACAUGAUAUGGAUCAUUUCGUAAGGUGAGAUAGCCAUUGGGAAUUUGGUGUCUUGAGUUUUUACUUGGAAACACGAUUUCCAAGUCUUUCAUGACUUUAUUUAAUGUGAUGAAUUGACAGCGGGCUUCUAGGGGGCUGGUGAGAUGGCUCAAUGGGUAAGAGCACUGACCGCUCUUCCAAAGGACCUGAGUUCAAAUUCCAGCAACCACAUGGUGGUUCACAACCACCCAAAAUGAGAUCUGACGCCCUCUUCUGGUGCAUCUGAAAACAGCUGCAGUAUACUUAUUUAUAAUAAUAAAUAAAUCCUUAAAAAAAAAAGAAGAAAGUGGGCUUCUGGGUGUUUUAUAUGUCUGUGUAUUGUUGGGGAAAGAAUAGCAGUAGGGUAAAUUUUUAAGUGGGCCUCCUGAAGUAAAUAGUCCGAAGUCAGUUAUUUAUCAAUGGUGUCUCUGUUGGCAUGGAAAUAGAUUUGCAUCUUUAUGCCCAUCUGUGGGCUGAGUUAUCAGUUAUGGAAUAGAGCUGAAGAAAAUUAUGCACAUCUUCCAUGAGAGAGAAAAUUUAGGUUCAACUUGCAGAUGAGGCUUGGAAAUCAAGGUUUGUUUGUUUAUGCUUUUUUUUUGGUUUUGUUUUGUUUUGGAAGACUGGGGCUCACUGUAUAGCUCUGGCUGCCAUUGACUCUGCUCAGUGCGUUCUGAUUCUGAUUUUGCUGUCUUCCUUUUUCUUUCUUUCUUUUUUUAAAAGAUGUAUUUAUUUAUUAUAUGUAAGUACACUGUAGCUGUCUUCAGACACACCAGAAGAGGGCAUCAGAUCUCAUUGUGGAUGGUUGUGAGCUACCAUGUGGUUGCUGGGAUUUGAACUCAGGACCUUUGGAAGAGCAGUCAGUGCUCUUAACUGCUAAGCCCAUCUCUCUAGCCUGUCUUCCUUUUUUCUGAGGCAAGGUUUUACUAUGUUGUUCAAGUUGGUCUGGGAUUCAAGUGAUACUUAAGCUUAACCUCCCCAAGUGGCUAAGAUAGAUGCUAUCCAACAUACCUGACACAUUCCUGUUGUUCUCCUUAAUGAAUUAUUUUAUUAAUUUUUAUUUGUGUGAUGUGUCAUGUCCACAGGAGUGCAAGUGCUUACAGAGGCCAGAGCUCCCCUGGAGUUGAAGUUACAGGUGGUUGUGAGCCUCCUCAUGUAGGUGCUGAGAACUGAACUUGAGUCCUCUGAAAGAACAGUCCAGAGUUCUUUAACUACUGUGCCAUCUCUCCAGCCGAACUGUCUGUGAAUAAGUAGUUUCUUAGAAAUAAUAUUGGACAUUGUGUUUUAUUUUGUUUUUUGUUUUGUUUUGUUUUUUUGAGACAGGGUUACUCUGUAUAGCCCUGGCUGUCCUGGAACUCACUUUGUAGACCAGGCUGGCCUCGAACUCAGAAAUCUGCCUGCCUCUGCCUCCCGUGUGCUGGGAUUAAAGGUGUGCGCCACCAUGCCUGGCCAUAUUAGACAUUGUUAAAGUCUAGCACUGUCUUAAAGUUUUUAGACUUGAAGGUGGUUUUUUAAAAAAUUAUAUUUAUUUUUGAGACAGGCUUAUAUAGCCCAUAGUGGCCUCAAAGUCACUAAGUAGGUCAGAGUGACCUUGGUCUGCUUUUUCUUUCCUGCCUCUACCUCCUAAGUGCUGGGAUUAUAAAUGUAUUUUACUGUACCUACUUUAUUUUUUCCUUUUUUUUUUUAAAAAGCAGAUUUAUUUUUUUUAGCAAAAUGUUUUAUUCAAAAGCUUCUCAGUACCACUAGUUGUCAGAAAGAAUGAAUAGCACUUUUCCUUUGCUGCCCAACCCCAUGGAAGAGGCCUGUAAGGGUCCUCUGCAGUUGAAGGCCCGCUUUCUGUGACAUAAGAAACGAUUCUGUGUUUCCUUGUGUAUGAGGCUGGUGCCAAACAGAUAUCCUAGGGCAAAGUCUUUCGUCCCCCCCCCCACCCCCCACCCCAAGAACCAUUCAGCUCAUACAAGAACAUGGUUGUGGAGAUUGGUUACAAAAAAGAAAAUUGACUAAGGGAAAAUGAAUUUCCUUUUUGGGAAGGAAAUAAAUGGCUAAGAGUUAUGCUAUCUCACCCACUAACAAUAUUGCAUUUCUUUGUUUUGUUUUUAGGUUUUUGACAACUAUGCAGUCACAGUUAUGAUUGGUGGAGAGCCAUACACUCUUGGACUUUUUGAUACUGCAGGUGAAAACUUAUGUCUCAUAAUAUUUUGAUCUGUAACAGUUGCUGCUACUGAGUAUCUUUUGGACACCAUGAAAUUAGUAUAUCAGUAAAUCAUUUAUCUUUUGUUAAUAGUUAAGCAGGGUUGAAUAUAAUGAUGGUUGUCAGAAUGGUGGCACACACCCAGCACCCAGGAGGCAAAGGCAGUUGGAUCUCUCUGUGAGUUUGAGGUCUGCAUAGUGAGUUCCAGGCCAGUCAGGGCUGUAGAGAGACCCCCAUCUGAAAAAAAACCUACCUGCCUGCCUGCCUGCCUUAUCUGCCUGCCUCUUCUUCCCUCUCUUCCCUCCCUUCAAGCCUCUCUUGACUUUGGAUGGCUAAUAGGGGUUUGGAGUAUCCUGGGUAUAUGAAAGAAGAUACAAUACAGUCAGAAAAUCCUUAGGUAAACUCCAGUGGGUUUGGAGGCUGGAAAGAGACUAAGAAGAUGAGCUCAGAAAACAUGUCUGCUGAUCAUUUCCUUCACUUCCUUGUUCUGGCCUCACAGGUGGGGGCUAGGGAUGUAACUUAGUUUAACACACUCCCCUCGUAUGCACGAGGCCCUGAUUCACUCCCCAGCAUUACUGCUCAAAUCUGUUCUGUCUGUAGUCACAGCAGUCCUGGGCACAAGCAGGAAGAUCAGAAACUCAAGGUCUUAAAACAAAUUUAAGGCCAGGCAGGGCUACAUAAGACCAUGAAAUGAAAUAAUCUUAGUUGUGUAAAUAUGACCAAGGCUGUAAACUUGGUGUUUAUUUAUUAGGGUGGUUGUUUCAUUAGAAACUUUUUGUAGUAUAUUUUGUUCGUAUAAUGCAGAUAUCAAGAAUGUCUUACUACACAUAAACCACACUUAGCUGAGAGCACUACCCUUUUUUUUUUUUUCUUUUAAAUCAGUUCUCUAAAUUAUUUUCAGUUUGUUUUUAAUACUGGCUUCUUCAUUUUUUCUGGGUAGUCUUUUAAAUAAAAAGGAAACCAAAAAACCAAACCAAACCAAACC
rnacentral:lncRNA from 1 species